UAUCUACUAUUUCCUACAAAAUUAUUCGCCAGAGAACUACAAGCCAGAGCUUAAAACUCAAAGGACUUGGCGGUGCUUUAUACCCGCCUAGAGGAGCCUGUUCUAUAAUCGAUAAACCCCGAUAAACCUUACCACUCUUUGCCAACUCAGCCUAUAUACCGCCAUCUUCAGCAAACAAAGGAU
rnacentral:rRNA from 1 species